UACCCCUAGCAAAUCUCAAAAAACCGUCUCAGUUCGGAUUGGAGUCUGCAACUCGACUCCAUGAAGUUGGAAUCGCUAGUAAUCGCAGAUCAGCAUGCUGCGGUGAAUACGUUCCCGGGCCUUGUACACGCCGCCCGUCACACCAUGGGAGUUGGCUUUACCUGAAGGCGGUGCGCUAACCAGCAAUGGAGGCAGCCGACCACGGUAGGGUCAGCGACUGGGGUGAAG
rnacentral:rRNA from 1 species